rnacentral:misc_RNA from 1 species
AAAGGUUCCUAUAUAAGCAACGCUGGCAUAAGGACUAUAGCCCUAGCACUGCAGUGAGCCACCUCGUCCUCAUAUACUCUGCUUUGCUUCACUCUAUCUUAUCUCUGCUAAACCCUAGCAGUUAACUUAUACUCGCCGCCAAGUUUUCUGAGUGUUGAAAGUUAUCAAAGCUGUGAAACGAUGUCGGACGAUGAAAGAGAGGA